rnacentral:lncRNA from 1 species
GCGGAAAGGGUUAACGGGCUCCGCCGCAUUGGGCCGUCCUUCAAGGGGGGGAGCCAGCCAAUGAGCGCGCGCCGCGAUGAGAAGCAAGGUCUCGCUGUGUUACCCGGGCUGGAGUGCAGUGGCUACUUACAGGCAUGAUCAUAGCAUACUGCAGCCUCGAACUCCUGGACUAAAGCAGUUCUCCUGCCUCAGCCUCCAGAGCAGCUGGGACUGCAGACACGCACCACAGAGCCCAGCCUGAGUCAUUUUGAUUCUGUAACUGGCUUCCUCUCGGCGGGCAGGCUCACACCCUCCACCCCCAGCUGGAGAUGGAAGGAGGAUGCUCACCAUCCAUUCCUCAUGCAGGCCAUCGAUGG